ACCUGUAAUAGUAAUCAUGGAUUCACUUUGCAAACACACAGUCAGUUCUGGUCAGUUCUGGCCUAUACAUUCCACUCAGAAGACAUUCAGCAUUGGAGUAGGAUUCACAUCUGGAACACCUCGUGAAUCAUGAGAUUAGCAAUUUGCUCUCCAAGAACAUUAGCCUGUACUGUAGCAAGAUACUGUGGAGUGCCAAUCCUACUGCAAGCUGAAAGCACCUGAGGAACAGUUGGAGGCUGCUCGGGCGUGUUAAUACAAGGAAUAACAGGACUAAGUUUAGAAGAAGUGACCGCAGAUGUGAGAGGAGAAUCCCCUUUAUUUUCCUGUGUUAUGGCAGCAGAAAUAGCAUCUGAGUUUUUUGUUAAAGGCUGCAGUUUCUUUUUAUCAAAAAAAGACA